rnacentral:lncRNA from 1 species
UUUCUUUCUACACCUCAUCUCACCUCUCUAUUCAUAUUGUUGAGUGUUGGACUGAAUUUACAUUUGAUUCACUCGGCGAAUUGACUUUUUAUGAUUAAUUAAUUACAUGCCCUCAACUAACCUCCAACCCAACCCAACCAAUUGACUUUCCUUGGCCUCAAGGUUUCCUUUACGCUUAGUGCUUCAUGGCCUUCACUCAGCAGCUCAUUCUUAAGCUUGAGUUCUUCUCUGACACAAAUCUGCUUAGCAGGGCUCAAUGCUUGGAGGUCUUGAAUUUGCAUGUUCUUUGCCAUCAAUCCACUUAGCACUCAGCGGAUGGUACCAUUUUUCUCAUUUAUAACUUUGUUGCUCUUUUUCCUCUACUUUCUGCAAAAUUUCAAUAAUUUUAACAUAAGAUCAUUCAACUCAUCAAAGUAAUCAUUCUAAGUGGGAAGAAGUUAGCUUUCAUACUAAAUAUUCUCUAUUUUUCCCGAUCUAUAGACCUAAACUAAUGUAAAAUCUAAUAAUAUUUAGCACACCUAUCACUUAGGCCAGCCAGUAAACAAUGGUAUGAAAAAAAAUCUCCACCUUUUCUCUUUCACAAAGGUAUAGUUGUUCAAAUACUAAUCAUUCUUUAUUUUUUAGAAAUAUUGAUAGCAAUAAUACGGUUGUUUUAGUAUAUGCUAAUGAUAUUUUUUAGUUGGAAACGAAAAAAUUUGAAAUUGAUUACAUAACUACUGGAUAAGACUUUUACGAUUAAAAAUCUUGGAGAGUUAACAUACUUUCUUGAUCUAGAAGUUGUUAGAAAUAAAAUUGGGAUACAUUUAUGUCAGAGAAAAUACACUUUGGAUAUACUUGAAGAUGUUGGUAUGUUAUAUUGUGCAUCUGUUGUCACUCCUAUGAAUCAGAAGCUCGCGGUCAACAUGUGUGAAAUUAUUCCUGAUUCUACCUCUUGUAGAAGACUCAUUGGAAGACUGAUUUAUUUGACCAACAUUGGGCUGGACAUCAUACAUGUCCUUCAUUAUUUAAGCUAUGCUCUUUUGUGAUUCAUAUGUUCUAGUUUAAUAGUUUCAACACAUACAUACAGAUCUGAUUUUCAGCACAACUAUCAGUUUUACACGUUUUUUACAGAUAUGGAUUACAAUAUGUGCAGUUCCAAUUCAAACUCCCUAUGCAGUCUAGGUUGAAGCUUUCUGAUAAAUGAUGGUGAGGGAUAUUUUGAAAGAGAGAAAAUAAGAAAAAUAAGUAUGGUUCUUAAUGCAACUGCAUCAGUAUAGUUAUUUUUAUUCUAUUUGUGCUACAAAGAAAUUAAGAACAGAAGUCCUUCUGUAUAUAUACAGCAUGAGUGAUAUCAAUGAAAAAGUUAUGAGAAUCUUGCUUUACAAGGAGUGAUUAAUACAUAUAUGAUGAAAAGGGCACACAUGACAAACUGAAGCCUACAUUUGGUAGUACUUUCUGGCUAUUUAUAGACAAGCACAAUAUGAAUUGCUUCCUUUAAAGUAAAAAAGACAUUGAAAUUUCAAUACAUUCUAUCUAGUGAAACCAAUAUAGGAAUUUUGUCCAAGACAAUAAAAGUUUAAGAAAUGUGGUACAAAUAUUUUACAUAUGGCUUUAUCCUUUAUAAGCACGGUAUUUCCUAUUCAUUCCAG